AAAAUACUCCCUCCGUCCGGAAAAGCUUGUCCCAAACUUGUCCCUCAAAUUGGUGUAUCUAGCUAGCACUAACUUGAUGAUAGAUACAUCCAUUUGAGGGCCAAGUUUUUUCGGACAGAGGGAGUAUAUG
rfam:Triticum aestivum genome assembly, contig: Triticum_aestivum_CS42_TGACv1_scaffold_321182_4BL